GGUGCAAGCGUUGUCCGGAAUCACUGGGCGUAAAGGGUGCGUAGGCGGCCCGGUAAGUAGGGGGGGAAAUCCUGCGGCUUAACCGCAGGGCUGCCUUCUAAACUGUCGGGCUCGAGCACGGUAGAGGCAGAUGGAAUUCCCGGUGUAGCGGUGGAAUGCGUAGAGAUCGGGAAGAACAUCAGUGGCGAAGGCGGUCUGCUGGGCCGUUGCUGACGCUGAGGCGCGACAGCGUGGGGAGCAAACAGG
rnacentral:rRNA from 1 species